rnacentral:lncRNA from 1 species
GGAUAAUUAUCAGUUGUUUAAUAUUGUGCCAUUCGUCAAAGAAACUUUUGGGCGCAGGGGGGUGGGGGUGGGGGUGGGGGCAUGGCAAUUUUUCCACUUUUGGUGAAACAGACAUUUUCAUUUGCUGUAAACCGGAGCUGAAACUGCACGUUUUAAAAGGGUAACUUAAUACCUAUCAAAAUGUAACACACAUCCUUUGAUCCAGCAAUUCGUUCUUUCAAAAUCUAUCCUACAGAAAUACUUAAACACAUGAGCAAGUUACUUGUAAUAGUGAUACUAUUAUUUGUAAUAGUGAAUGACUGGAGGCAAACUGAAUCACUCAAUUGUUUUACAACCAUACCACGAAAUGUUAUGCUGCCAUUUAAAAAAAAUUAGGUAAAUUUCCAUAUACUAAUAUGAAAGCAAGUCCACAAUACAUUGCAAAGUGUAAAAAUUAAGUUGCAAAAUAGUGCACAUAAUAUUCCAUUUUGUUAAAAAACUACAUUCAAGUGUGUGGGUAUUCGUACAUGUGUAUAUGAGUAUGUGUAUAUUAAUACAUAUCUGUAUAUAUUCACAUACACAUAUCUAUGCAUAAAAAAAGGUCUGGGAAGACACAUACCAAAUUAAGUUAUUCUGGAGAAUGGGUAUAGGGAGAGGGAAUAAAGAGAAAUCUUCACUUUUUACAUAUUUAUGUCUUGUUUGAAUUUUGUCAACUAGCAUUAAUUACUUUUGAAUCUUUAUCACCACAAUGAAACAUUUUAACAAAACAGGCACUUUUGUAAUAGCAACAAUCAGCAAAACUAUCAUUUCUACAUUUUAAAUAAGAAUAAUUUCAGAUAGGAAUGAGGUGACUAUUUCAUUCAAAAUUUUCAGCUAGAGACCUAGGAUAAAAUUAGGGCAACUGUAAAUCAAUUCAACACUGAGCUUCAGUGUGGUACUUAUGACCUGAUACAACAGGAUAUGGGCAAACAAAAUCUAAUCAGGGUAAGUGAAGAGUCAUUCAUUUCUGGGAGAGAAAACUACAUUACAACAAACUCAAUCAAAUGCAAAAAACUUUGCUUUCACCUUUUUGGUAGCAUCACCUCCAGGGUUUACUCAACUCCUUAGGGCAACAGUUGGAAAUCAUAAAAAUUUGAGAUUUAAGAUACCUCAGAUAUCAUUCAGUCAAAUCCC